GGAGGAUUUGCAGCCUUCGGCCAGGCCAAGCCCGUUGGCACUCCAUACGGACAAACAAUGUCCGGACCUAUGAUCUCCAGCAACCCCUUCCUGGGUGCGGCUCCGUCUGCUCAGUAUCCAGCAGGAGGCUCUUCAACGAACCCCUUCUUAUAGCGACCCCUCCGCUCCGCUCCACUACAGGGUCAACAACUGGCGCGCUUGCACCUAUUGCACCGUUUGUUUCACAAGUAGCUUUAAACACAAUGUUUGUAAGGAUUUGUAUUUUCUAUCGCAGUUUGUCACAAGGGAUAUGACAGAGCAUCAUGCUGACACUGUCCAUGGCUACAAAACAAAGUGAUGGUGUGUGUGCAGAGGGAGAGGACGGUCCCCCCCUUCUCUAUUUAACCUGUGAACUGGCCUGGCCUCGACUGAAACACAAUGUAUAAUCAAACUGGCUGAAAACUAAGUUAUUGUAACAGUAUAUCCCAUUCGUUAUGCUGCAACUUUGUACAUAAUUCAUUUUUCUUUUAGCGCUUUUGUGCAUAUCAGUAUUUGUAUCUAACACACAAGAUUUGUUCAGACAGAUCUGUUGCUUCUUGGUAAGUUAAUGGGUUCCGCCACUUACUGUAUUUGUGAAGAACCGACUGUUUAAUUGUGCGGGUUCCUUUUUAGGUAAACUGUUGGCUACGGUGGCCGAGAGGUGCCAACGUGCUUCAGCGGACCAACACAUUUCCAUUGGGGGAAACGCACUGCAACCUCAAAAA